rnacentral:rRNA from 1 species
AUUGAACGCUGGCGGCAUGCCUUACACAUGCAAGUCGAACGGCAGCACGGGUGCUUGCACCUGGUGGCGAGUGGCGAACGGGUGAGUAAUACAUCGGAACGUACCUUAUCGUGGGGGAUAACGCAGCGAAAGCUGUGCUAAUACCGCAUACGCCCUGAGGGGGAAAGCGGGGGAUCGAAAGACCUCGCGCGAUUAGAGCGGCCGAUGCCUGAUUAGCUUGUUGGUGGGGGAAAAGCCCACCAAGGCGACGAUCAGUAGCUGGUCUGAGAGGACGGUCAGCCAAACUUGGACUGAGACACGGCCCAGACUCCUACGGGAGGCAGCAGUGGGGAAUUUUGGACAAUGGGGGCAACCCUGAUCCAGCAAUGCCGCGUGAGUGAAGAAGGCCUUCGGGUUGUAAAGCUCUUUUGUCAGGGAAGAAACACCGGCUCUAACACAGUCCGGGAAUGACGGUACCUGAAGAAUAAGCACCGGCUAACUACGUGCCAGCCGCCGCGGUAA